rnacentral:rRNA from 1 species
GGCGGCGUGCUUAACACAUGCAAGUCGAACGGAAAGGCCCUGCUUUUGUGGGGUGCUCGAGUGGCGAACGGGUGAGUAACACGUGAGUAACCUGCCCUUGACUUUGGGAUAACUUCAGGAAACUGGGGCUAAUACCGGAUAGGAGCUCCUGCUGCAUGGUGGGGGUUGGAAAGUUUCGGCGGUUGGGGAUGGACUCGCGGCUUAUCAGCUUGUUGGUGGGGUAGUGGCUUACCAAGGCCUUGACGGGUAGCCGGCCUGAGAGGGUGACCGGCCACAUUGGGACUGAGAUACGGCCCAGACUCCUACGGGAGGC